rnacentral:lncRNA from 1 species
UAUGUUGUGUGAACUUAGAUUGUGAUGGCAAUGUGCAUUGAAGAUUGCGGACGAAAUCUCGACGGGCUGGUGCGGCUCUUGGAUAUCCUACCACACGGCAGGAGAUGUAAAGAAUCCGGCCGCGUUAGGCACCCAUACUCAACUCGAUGGAUUGAACCUAAUAUUUUUACAAGGCAUUUAUCCUACACGGCGUUAGCAUUCGGGUUCCCCUACUGUAGUUUACAGGACUGUGCCUGUCAUCUUUCAACCGAUUUGGGCCGUUUUUUUGGAUGCCAAUCAAAAUCCUUAUUGCAAAAUAAAGCAGAUAACUUUAUUAAGGCUUGCGUAUAACAGUGUCCGGUUACAGGAGUACUGAAAGCUAUUACAGGAACAAGUCACUUGCCGACGGCUGCGCAGGAGAGGAACCAGUGGAGGCCCGCGCAACGGGAAUCGCAAGGACCUAGAAAACUUGGGAUGUAAAGGAGGACAAUUCCAAAUGACUGAUUCGUCAUUACUCCUUGGUCACACCCUCAAGCAGCCAAGCGCGCGCUACAACGCUAGCCAUACUGCUGCCGGCUGAUCCUUUGGAAACCGCUUGCUACAAACAUGCGAAUCCAGGGCGACGGCAGCGCUUCCAUGCCUCUUGUCUCUUCCUUUCCACCCAUGUUGAUUCGUGUCAGGGGUUGGGAGAUUAGUUUCGACUGACCACACACCUUGAAGAGAACACUCCUCCGCAUCGGCCACACCAGGUGUGUGGCCACGUGGUCACAUCGCGCGUGUCUUCCUCAGCUACCUCUACGGGACGGGACGAGAACUCAUUGACUUCAGACUACGACGUACGAGAACUACCGGACAACAGGUUCGCGGACUACAGACCGUACAGACCUUGCUGGGCUGAGCUGGACGUCAGGCACAGCUUGCGUCGGCUUGAGCUGGCAUAAGCAAAAAUGAAGUGCAAUGAGACCACAAGCUAGCUAUGAGGUUAGCGUCUUUAUUGAGCCUAGCGUGGGCGAUUUCGUUGGCAAGUCCACAACGAGGGGGCAAGAGGACUUCGCAACGGCUGCCUUGCAGGGCCCGUGCAUAGGCCUCCGAUGAGGGUGAGCAGCACACCGUAUCAGAUCGCUAUUGUCAGGGUGUCGUCGCAGAGAUUUGGACAAGCAAUAGCCUACCAUGGACGCACAUGAAAUCGUGCAUCGUGGACCUGCGCGACAGAUGAUAGUACGGCACAACCAGGAACGGUCGCAACGACUCCAGGUUGUCGUUCCCACAAAACUGAAUCUGUGUGCUUUCAAAAAGAUGACGAUCCGUUUCGCUCAACAUAAAAUUGUUUAAUGUUGCCAUUACCUGAGCGCGUCCAGGCCUCCAGGCCUGUCCGUGAUACGGUCGGCGUUAUCCGUUGAGCCAUCACACAUUGCCGUUGAACACGACUUAGUAAGAUCUUUGUGCCAUUGCAUAGGCUCUACUAAAUUUUUAACCUCUCUCUUGAGCCGUUGAUAACUAGUAGAAUGCCUCCUGAAGCCGCACCUAUGGAGAACGGGUCUGCCAAGGCUGGUGCCUUCACUAAACCGCUCAAUGAAUUGUUUAGUUCUUUGCCGACCACGAUAUUUGAGGUCAUGAGCAAGCUUGGUG